CCCGAUGGGCAACAGGAAAGGAAAAACAAAAAUUACAGCAGGUAUCCGAGGCCCCGUUGGGCAUGAGAAAAAGACGAAAGGCAGGUAUCCGAGGUCCCGAUGGACCGAGAAAUAAGGGGUCUUUUGGAUAAAAAGCAGGUAUCCAUGGCCCCGAUGGGCUAAGGAGAAGAAAAAAAAGAAUAAAAGCAGGUAUCCACAGCCCAGAUGGGCAAGUUUAGAAGAAGAAAAAUAAGAAGAAAAAAAGAAUUAAAGGCAGAUGGAGAGAAACCAGUAAAGAAGCGCACGUCCACGGGAGACGAGCAAACAUGGCUGAAGCAAGCCGUUGCACGCCUUUAACUAACCGCAGCGCUGAAGGCGGAGGGACCAGAAGAGGAGUGGCCACAAAGAUUGGAAGUCUGACAUCUUAUUGGACCUUAGGUCCAACUAUAAUGUACAAAAUUAAAAUGAAUAAAGAUGGCGAUACGUAAGCUCAGUGACAUAACGCGAGAAUUUCAUUAUUUUGUGUGAUAAUGAAGGAUUAUCCUCUAUUUUACAGCUUUGGGAAAUUAGACAUAAACGUUAAAUAAUGUCCAUUAGGUUCACACACCAUGUCUAUGCAAAAUUUCAAUAUAUCUUGUACUUGGACAAACAUUGUAUCGCUCCGCGACUUGGACUAGAAGUUCUUAUGAAUCAGUUGGCGAGCUCAAACGAGGAAAAGAAAGGGUGGAAAUGCCUCACAAAAUGGCUCCUUGGUUCCUAAAUUAUCAGAGUAUCGGUUGCGUCCUAUUUGGUGGGCUUACGCUCGCAGUUUCGGGUCCUGGACAUUUUAGUCUUUCUCUGGGAACCUAAUGGCUCCAAACCUUGGGAAAAACGCGCACUGAAGAACGUUACUGGCUAGCAGUAAUGGAAAAUGGUUCUUAAAUACCGAAGCAAGGUCUGAAGGAAUAAUAAUAAUCGCUCAGUGGUAUUGUACUUGCCC